rnacentral:rRNA from 1 species
AUUGAACGCUGGCGGCAGGCCUAACACAUGCAAGUCGAACGAGUGGCGGACGGGUGAGUAAUGUCUGGGAAUCUGCCCGAUGGAGGGGGAUAACUACUGGACACUGUCGCUAAUACCGCAUACCAUCGGAUGUGCCCAGAGGGGAUUAGCUAGUAGGUGGGGUACCGGCUCACCUAGGCGACGAUCCCUCGCUGGUCUGAGGGGAUUACCAGCCACCCUGGAACGGAGACACGGUCCAGACUCCUACGGGAGGCAGCAGUGGGGAAUAUUGCACAAUGGGCGCAAGCCUGAUGCAGCCAUGCCGCGUGUAUGAAGAAGGCCUUCGGGUUGUAAAGUACUUUCAGCGAGGAGGCGUUACUCGCAGAAGAAGCACCGGCUAACUCCGUGCCAGCAGCCGCGGUAAUUC